rnacentral:misc_RNA from 1 species
AAGUCGUAACAAGGUCUCUACACCCAAGUUGGUUGGAUUGCACAUGAUCCCUCCGUAUGUACACUUGCAGAAGCCUUAGCGGGUCCAAAAGACCGGCCGUCCGCGACUGAAAAGAAGAGAUGACCAUCCGCGGCGCCCCCUCGGGGGCGCGGCGCGAUCGCUAGUCAGGUCCCUCCGGGGGAACCUCGGUCUUCGAGGUCUGGCGACACUUUCGAAUUGCGGGAAAACCCCUAAAGCCAUCUUCUACCAAGCUCCCGGGGAAACCUGGGGAGUGGCUCGUGCUAACCACACGAGGUACGGUAAAAAGGAAGGUGGAUAACGUCCUCACGGACUGCAGUGGGCGAUCCGCAGCCAAGCCCUAACGCGACCGCCUCCGGGCGGGCUAUGGGACGGGUUCACAGACUAAGUGGAAGUGGGUGGGACGUCGUCCUGCUUAAGAUAUAGUCGGGCCGCCGUGGAAACAUGGCGGGUAAGUACAUGAGAGAACCCCCGCCUCCGGGUGGGCAAUGUAUAACCGCUCCGUAGGUGAACCUGCGGAGGGAUCAUUACAGAGAAGCGUGGCGCCCCCCGGGCGCGGUCCCUCCACCUCUGUGAACACAACUUGUUGCUUCGGGGGCGACCCUGCCGUUUCGACGGCGAGCGCCCCCGGAGGCCCUCCAACACUGCAUCUCUGCGUCGGAGUUUAAGCAAAUUAACAAAA